rnacentral:rRNA from 1 species
GGGGAGGGGGGGGUGCUAUAAUGCAAGUCGAGCGAAUGGAUUAAGAGCUUGCUCUUAUGAAGUUAGCGGCGGACGGGUGAGUAACACGUGGGUAACCUGCCCAUAAGACUGGGAUAACUCCGGGAAACCGGGGCUAAUACCGGAUAACAUUUUGAACCGCAUGGUUCGAAAUUGAAAGGCGGCUUCGGCUGUCACUUAUGGAUGGACCCGCGUCGCAUUAGCUAGUUGGUGAGGUAACGGCUCACCAAGGCAACGAUGCGUAGCCGACCUGAGAGGGUGAUCGGCCACACUGGGACUGAGACACGGCCCAGACUCCUACGGGAGGCAGCAGUAGGGAAUCUUCCGCAAUGGACGAAAGUCUGACGGAGCAACGCCGCGUGAGUGAUGAAGGCUUUCGGGUCUAAAACUCUGUUGUUAGGGAAAAACAAUGCUAUUUGAAUAAGCUGGCACUUUGACGGAACUUACCAAAAAGCCCC